rnacentral:rRNA from 1 species
CAAGUCGAGCGAGAAUAGGUAGCAAUACCUUAGUAAAGCGGCGCACGGGUGAGUAACACGUGGAUAACCUGCCUCGNAANUGGGGAAUAACACCGGGAAACCGGUGCUAAUACCGCAUACUCUGACGAGAUCUGUGGAUUUUGUCAGCAAAGGAGCAAUUCGCUUUGAGAGGGGUCCGCGGCUGAUUAGCUAGUUGGUGAGGUAAUGGCUCACCAAGGCCACGAUCAGUAGCCGGUCUGAGAGGACGGUCGGCCACACUGGAACUGAGACACGGUCCAGACUCCUACGGGAGGCAGCAGUGGGGAAUUUUUCGCAAUGGGGGCAACCCUGACGAAGCAACGCCGCGUGGGUGAUGAAGUAUUUCGGUACGUAAAACCCUUUCGACGGGGACGAAACCGCAAGGUUGACGGUACCCGUAGAAGAAGCCCCGGCUAACUCCGUGCCAGCAGCCGCGGUAAUACGGGGGGGGCAAGCGUUGUUCGGAAUUACUGGGCGUAAAGGGCGCGUACGCGGUUUGCUAAGUUGGAUGUGAAAACUCUGGGCUUAACCCAGAGCCUGCAUCCAAAACUGGCAAACUUGAGUACUGGAGGGGAAAGCGGAAUUCCUGGUGUAGCGGUGAAAUGCGUAGAUAUCAGGAGGAACACCGGUGGC